UGUAGAAGUUCCUGUAAUAUCUUUAUAAACGUUUGAUGUUUUUUUACUAAAAUGCAUAAGAAAGACUAGGGACGUUGCACUUGAAGAUAGCUAGAGGUAAUGCUGCACAUGUAGUAAAAGUGAAAUUUCAAACCAAAUAAUAAUAAUAAUUUCACAAGGAACAACGUAAUCGUCACCAUAAAAAAAUCGAUUUUAUUCCAAACUUUCAUACCUUUUAGGAACCUGGAUAUUUUCCUUUAGCAGAUCUUAGGAGAUAAACUACAUAUGGCUUCUUUUAUUGAUGAAAUUAUUCUGGUGAGAAUUUAAGACUUUGGAUACAGUAUGGAGAAGACGAACUAUUCCCUACCCCGAACCAAAGGGAUUUAUUUGAGGAAUAUUUAGCUAAGCUUUCUAGGAAAUGUUUAUUCCAUAUAUGGAAAGUGUUAUAAAAUAUUUGAUACUUUUUGCUUGUUUUUUGCCAUCUUUAUAAAGACCAAGCGAUAUGUGAUGAGAAAAAUUACUAUAACAAACCAGCUACUUCUCAUAUGAUUAUCAUCUCUCGUCUCUCUCACAUUUUGUUAUACCUUGUUCAGAUUAAGACGGAAAAAAACAUCGUUCGAAACUUCUUACUUCACGCUAGUCAAAGGCUGCACACGUGAUAUAACCGGGUGCUGAGUGGGUGUUAUGAAUCAAAUCCUACUAGUCAAAACCAAUACGCGAGGCAUAACCGCGUGCUAUAUGAAUUAUAUGAAUCAAAUCCUGCUAGUCAAAGCCAGCACAGGAGAUAUAACCACGUGCUGACUGGGUGUUAUGAAUCAACUCCUGCUAGUCAAAGCCAGCACACGAGAUAUAACCACGUGCUGACUGGGUGUUAUGAAUCAACUCCUGCUAGUCAAAGCCAGCACACGAGAUAUAACCACAUGCUGACUGGGUGUUAUGAAUCAAAUCCUGCUAGUCAAAGCCAGCACACGAGAUAUAACCACAUGCUGACUGGGUGUUAUGAAUCAAAUCCUGCUAGUCAAAGCCAGCACACGAGAUAUAACCACAUGCUGACUGGGUGUUAUGAAUCAAAUCCUGCUAGUCAAAGCCAGCACAGGAGAUAUAACCGAGUGCUGAGUGGGUGUUGUGCAUCAAAUCCUGCUAGUGACAGCUAGUACACGAGACAUACCGCGUGCUGAAUGGGUGUUAUGCAUCCAAUCCUGCUAGUGACAGCUAGUACACGAGACAUACCGCGUGCUGGAUGAAUUUUUCGAACCAAACUACGUUAAAAACUGUUCAAAUAUGAGGUAUAAUGAUUUUUCCUUUUUGUGUUAGUGAGGUCAUAAGCCUGCUUAGAGUUGUUGGUUUUUUUGUAUCUUCCUCAUCUCGACGUUCAAAUUUGUUUUAAGUUCUUAUUUUUGUAAAUACUAACAGAUGAAAGAAUAAUUCAGUGUAAUAUUAAAUUCUGAAAUAAAAUAUAACACCUGGCUUUCCAUUCUAGUGUUGAGUGUUCUCAAUAUCUCAUACUAAUAAAUACUCGUUCGAUUUAGCAGUGUACAUUAUGAUAUCUGAAUACAAAGCUGCUGGCAUCACCGGAUAAACAAUGUGUUUGUUAAAUGUUAGCAAGAUGGAUCGAUAUAUGUCUCAUCAGACUAUAACUGAAAAAUGCACGUGAUAAACGAAAGCCAUGUCUUGAAAACACUGAAAUAUUCAUGAUUAUGAAGUUACAUUUAUAUUGUCUAAUUUAGUUAAUAUAUAAUGAAGAUGAAAGAUAAAUGAUAUAUUACCAAACGUUUUCAUUAUAUUUAUAAGAACUACCUAUUGGAAACUUAGUCACAUAUAAAUAUAUAUAUGUGUGUGUGUAUGUUAUAUAUCACGAGCUAAAAUGUUAACGAAUGUGAUAAAACUCGAUUUUAUCGGCGCAGAGAAGUUUCAACUUACAAAAACGAUCAUCAUUACAAAAAAUUGUAUGUACUUUUAUAUAAAAUUAUUUGUAAUGAUGGAUAUUUUUUAUACAAUCUUAAGUUCAGUUUCUCUGUUGUGCGUUGAGGGUUGUAUCGGAAAUAUUGUUGUAUUGUCGCAGAUGUAAUAUUGUUGUGUUGUGGUAGAACUAAAAUUGCUGUAAUGCUGCAGAACUAGUGUUGUUGAACUUCCCCAGAUCUAAUGUUGUUAUAUUAUAUAGAACAUUAUUGUUGUAAUGCUGCAUAACUAGUAUUGUUGCAUUGCUGUAAAACUAGAAUCGUUUUAAUGCUGCACAACUAGUGUUGUUGUACUGCUACAGAUCUAGUUAUAUUACAACAGAACAGUGUUGUUGUAACGCUGCAGAACUAAAACCGUUCCAUAUCUACGUUAUUAAAAUGUCAUGAUGUUCUGUUUUAGGUAACGAAAUGUAGAUAACUAUAUACAUAAUUUUUAUAAUUAUCGUCAUUGAUGAGAAAAAUAACGAUUCGAUGGCAUGAACUAAAAAUAUUUCUAUGUGUAUGAACUUCUUAAUAAAAUAAGCCUAAAAGUCACCAUAUAUGAACUUUCACCACUACUGCCAAAAUAACAUUAUUACUGGAUAAAAAUAUGAUGCAAAAUAAGAGGAUUCAAUAAACAUACCAAUGUUUUGUGCAGUGCAUCAUUAAUUGUAAUAAUUACUUAGAAUUACGUAUUAUUUAGUAAGGAUAUCGCAGUGUUGAUUUGUGUAAACGUCUUAAAAUAAACCCUUGUUUUCCGUAA